rnacentral:tRNA from 1 species
AGAAGAUUAGUUAAAUUCAUAAUAUUAAUAUGUCAUGUUAAAGUAAUUAAUAAAUAAUAUUUUCUA